CUUCUUCGAUUUGCUGUGGGCAGAUGAAAUGGAUGUGGCUGUCGAUGCCGCCGGCGGUGACGAUAUUGCCUUCGCAACUGAUCACUUCUGUGCCAGGGCCGAUGAUGAUGUCUACGCCCGGUUGGGUGUCGGGGUUGCCCGCUUUGCCGAUGGCGACGAUGCGGCCGCCCUUGAGGCCGAUGUCAGCCUUGACGAUGCCCCAGUGGUCCAGGAUCAACGCGUUGGUCAUCACGCAAUCGACCGCGCCCUCGUAGCGGGUGCGCUGGCUCUGUGCCAUGCCGUCGCGAAU
rnacentral:sRNA from 1 species